CGAGGAAUGCCUAGUAAGCGCGAGUCAUCAGCUCGCGUUGACUACGUCCCUGCCCUUUGUACACACCGCCNNNNNNNCCUACCGAUUGAAUGGUCCGGUGAGCGGUUCGGAUCGCGGCGACGGGGGCGGUUCGCCGCCCCCGACGUCGCGAGAAGUCCAUUGAACCUUAUCAUUUAGAGGAAGGAGAAGUCGUAACAAGGUUUCCGUAGGUGAACCUGCGGAAGGAUCAUUG
rnacentral:ncRNA from 1 species